rnacentral:rRNA from 1 species
AACGAACGCUGGCGGCAUGCCUAACACAUGCAAGUCGAACGAGACCUUCGGGUCUAGUGGCGCACGGGUGCGUAACGCGUGGGAACCUGCCCUUAGGUUCGGAAUAACUCCCCGAAAGGGGUGCUAAUACCGGAUAAUGUCUUCGGACCAAAGAUUUAUCGCCUUUGGAUGGGCCCGCGUUGGAUUAGCUAGUUGGUAGGGUAAAAGCCUUCCAAGGCGACGAUCCAUAGCUGGUCUGAGAGGAUGAUCAGCCACACUGGGACUGAGACACGGCCCAGACUCCUACGGGAGGCAGCAGUGGGGAAUAUUGGACAAUGGGCGAAAGCCUGAUCCAGCAAUGCCGCGUGAGUGAUGAAGGCCUUAGGGUUGUAAAGCUCUUUUACCCGGGAUGAUAAUGACAGUACCGGGAGAAUAAGCUCCGACUAACUCCGUG